rnacentral:rRNA from 1 species
GAUGAACGCUAGCUACAGGCUUAACACAUGCAAGUCGAGGGGAAACGACAUCAAAAGCUUGCUUUCGAUGGGCGUCGACCGGCGCACGGGUGAGUAACGCGUAUCCAACCUGCCCACCACUUGGGGAUAACCUUGCGAAAGUAAGACUAAUACCCAAUGAUAUCUCUAGAAGACAUCAGAAAGAGAUUAAAGAUUUAUCGGUGAUGUAUGGGGAUGCGUCUGAUUAGCUUGUUGGCGGGGUAACGGCCCACGAAGGAUACGAUCAGUAGGGGUUCUGAGAGGAAGGUCCCCCACAUUGGAACUGAGACACGGUCCAAACUCUUACGGGAGGCAGCAGUGAGGAAUAUUGGUCAAUGGACGAGAGUCUGAACCAGCCAAGUAGCGUGCAGGAUGACGGCCCUAUGGGUUGUAAACUGCUUUUAUAAGGGAAUAAAGUGAGCCACGUGUGGCUUUUUGCAUGUACCUUAUGAAUAAGGACCGGCUAAUUCCGUGCCAGCCGCCGCAGUAA